rnacentral:rRNA from 1 species
AGUGAACGCUGGCGGCAGGCCUAACACAUGCAAGUCGAACGGCAGCACGGCAGUAGCAAUACUGUGGGUGGCGAGUGGCGGACGGGUGAGGAAUACAUCGGGAUCUACCCUGUUGUGGGGGGAUAACGUAGGGAAACUUACGCUAAUACCGCAUAAGAACUGAGGUUGAAAGCGGCGGACCGCAAGGCGUCGCGCGAUUGGAUGAACCGAUGUCCGAUUAGCUAGUUGGCGGGUAAAGGCCCACCAAGGCGACGAUCGGUAGCUGGUCUGAGAGGACGACCAGCCACACUGGAACUGAGACACGGUCCAGACUCCUACGGGAGGCAGCAGUGGGGAAUAUUGGACAAUGGGCGCAAGCCUGAUCCAGCC